AGUGAACGCUGGCGGUAGGCCUAACACAUGCAAGUCGAACGGCAGCACAGUAAGAGCUUGCUCUUACGGGUGGCGAGUGGCGGACGGGUGAGGAAUACAUCGGAAUCUACUUUUUCGUGGGGGAUAACGUAGGGAAACUUACGCUAAUACCGCAUACGACCUACGGGUGAAAGCAGGGGAUCUUCGGACCUUGCGCGAUUGAAUGAGCCGAUGGCGGGUUAGUUAGUUGGCGGGGUAAAGGCCCACCAAGGCGACGAUCCGUAGCGGGUCUGAGAGGAUGAUCCGCCAAACUGGAACGUAGACACGGUCCAGACUCCUAAGGGAGGCAGCAGUGGGGAAUAUUGGACAAUGGGCGCAAGCCUGAUCCAGCCAUACCGCGUGGGUGAAGAAGGCCUUCGGGUUGUAAAGCCCUUUUGUUGGGAAAGAAAAGCAGCAGGUUAAUACCCCGCUGUUCUGACGGUACCCAAAGAAUAAGCACCGGCUAACUUCGUG
rnacentral:rRNA from 1 species